ensembl:lncRNA
GUCAGCCAGCCUGCUCUGAUCCUCAAGUCAGUUGUAUUUAAAUUCAUGUUCAUUGAAGAUUUUUAUUCAUGAUUUGAAAAGUCCCAUUUACUUAAUGAUAUAUUUUCACUGUCUGCAACCCUCAAGAACCAGGGUGAGUCUGGGUCACCCUUUUCCUGGGCAAACUCAACGUACAUAUUGUCUUAGAUUAGGCAAAAAUGUUCAUCUUUUAACCUUGCUUGAAUAAAGCAAUGCAUUUUUUAUAGUGCGCAAGAGUUGCACUUUUUCCUUUUCUAUUGUAACGGUUUUCUUUAGGUGAAGUAGAGGCGGACCAAAACGCAGCGUGAUUAUAUUGAUUCAUGUUUAAUAAACAAAGAUAAACAUGAACACUACAAAACAAUACGUGGAAAACCAAAAACAGCCCUAUCUGGUGCAAAACAAAGAGACAGGAACAAUCACCCACAAACACACAGUGAAACCCAGGCUACCAAAAUAUGGUUCCCAAUCAGAGACAAUGACUAACACUUGCCUCUGAUUGAGAACCAUAUCAGGCCAGACAUAGAAAUAGACAAACAAGACAUCCAACAUAGAAUGCCCACUCAGAUCACACCCUGACCAACCAAAACAUAGUAACAUACAAAGCAAACUAUGGUCAGGGUGUGACAUCUAUGAUGAUUAAAUGUUUUGGUUGCACCUCAACUCGUUGGUUGAGCUCCCUCCCCUCCGUUUUUUUGGUUCUCAAAUUCUACUUUUUACAAAUAUUUUUUACAUGUAGUAAGUAAAUUAUUAAAAGCUUUAAAAUUGGGAUGUUUCCCACUUAUUUACACAACCUACUCCACACUUGCAAAGUGAAAGUUUAUAGAAAUGUUCUGAAAUUAAGUAGUAAACAGGAAAAGCAGAAUUGAAUCCAAUUAUUAAAAUGCAAAUAAUUUAAUGGUGUAUGGUUCAAUCCCAUUUCUGAAGGUCUGAUGAAUAACUAAUAUUGUUCCUCCUCUUCCUUGUGGCAGGCGCAGCAGCACACUGCCCUCCAAAGCCUGAAAAAAAAUCGCCGGACUUUCCCUUUGCAUGCAGCUCUGCAUGGAACAUCCAGUGUCACAUCCUUGGUGACGUGUGGGGUGACAUCUGGGAUGACCACAGCAACAUCCUCUGGAAAGGGAGAAAAGAGGGACAGAAAGUAAACAAAUGCAAACCGUAGGUUCUAAACACUGGCCAGUUGAAAGGUUCUACUAAGAUGUCAUGACAAACGGCACCUGUCAGUGUUACUCACCUGCUUGGAUGUCAGUUGACAGAGUGGCGAAGACGGCCAUCUUGAGAGUCCUUUCUUCAGGUGUGACAUCCACAACCUCCAAGAGUGAAGAGAUGGGCUCUGCCUCUCUGUUAAGGGUGAUGUCCACAACAUUCAGGUGGAAAGAAGCCAGAUCUGCCUCUUUGUUACGGGUGAUGUCCUGAACCUCAAGGUGUGAAUUAGCCGGGUCUGCUUCUGUCUUAGGGGUGAUUUCCACAACCUCCAAGUGGGAACAAGCUCUGUCUGCCUCUGUUUUAGGGCCGAUGUCCGCAACUUCCAGGUGGGAACAGGCCGGGUCUGCCUCUGUCUUACGUGUUAUGUCCACAACCUCCAGGUGGGAACAGGCCGGGUCUGCCUCUGUCUUACGUGUUAUGUCCA